rnacentral:rRNA from 2 species
CCGGUUAAUGGGUAACCUGCCCUAAAGUGGGGGAUAACAUUUGGAAACAGAUGCUAAUACCGCAUAAAACCUAGCACCGCAUGGUGCAAGGUUGAAAGAUGGUUUCGGCUAUCACUUUAGGAUGGACCCGCGGUGCAUUAGUUAGUUGGUGAGGUAAAGGCUCACCAAGACCGUGAUGCAUAGCCGACCUGAGAGGGUAAUCGGCCACACUGGGACUGAGACACGGCCCAGACUCCUACGGGAGAAUUCGAAGAAUCUUCCACAAUGGACGAAAGUCUGAUGGAGCAACGCCGCGUGAGUGAAGAAGGUUUUCGGAUCGUAAAACUCUGUUGUUGGAGAAGAACGUAUUUGAUAGUAACUGAUCAGGUAGUGACGGUAUCCAACCAGAAAGCCACGGCUAACUACGUGCCAGCAGCCGCGGUAAUACUUGGGAAGCGUUGUCCGGAUUUAUUGGGCGUAAAGCGAGCGCAGGCGGUUUCUUAAGUCUGAUGUGAAAGCCUUCGGCUCAACCGAAGAAGUGCAUCGGAAACUGGGAAACUUGAGUGCAGAAGAGGACAGUGGAACUCCAUGUGUAGCGGUGAAAUGCGUAGAUAUAUGGAAGAACACCAGUGGCGAAGGCGGCUGUCUGGUCUGUAACUGACGCUGAGGCUCGAAAGCAUGGGUAGCAAACAGGAUUAGAUACCCUGGUAGUCCAUGCCGUAAACGAUGAGUGCUAGGUGUUGGAGGGUUUCCGCCCUUCAGUGCCGCAGCUAACGCAUUAAGCACUCCGCCUGGGGAGUACGACCGCAAGGUUGAAACUCCCCUUGGAACGGGGGCCCGCACAAGCGGUGGAGCAUGUGGUUUAAUUCGAAGCAACGCGAAGAACCUUACCAGGUCUUGACAUCCUUUGACCACUCUAGAGAUAGAGCUUUCCCUUCGGGGACAAAGUGACAGGUGGUGCAUGGUUGUCGUCAGCUCGUGUCGUGAGAUGUUGGGUUAAGUCCCGCAACGAGCGCAACCCUUAUUACUAGUUGCCAGCAUUUAGUUGGGCACUCUAGUGAGACUGCCGGUGACAAACCGGAGGAAGGUGGGGACGACGUCAAAU